AAAUUUUCCCUUAACAAAAAGAACUCAUUUUUUCUCAUUUUCUCUUUUUGUUUUUGUUUUUAAUAGUUUGAAGUACCAUCUAAUUUUAAUUUGUACUCCUCUAUCUUUUUAAAUUUUUCUUUCUCUCCUGUUAUUUUGAUUUAGGUCUUUCUUUUGUAUCCGGGUGAUAUCUUAUACCACGCUGGCUUAUGAUUUGGGAAAGGAAUCAUAUAUUUCUCGACUUAGUGAAAGAAUAUAUUUGAUUCAAGUUUUAAUCUAAUAGAUGACAAAAAAAUGUUGUAUUCAGUUAUAUUAUAUAUAUUGUAUUUUACCUUGAUCAACAUUCAUAAAAAGAACAUUGCACUUGAUCAAAGUAUUUCUUUCCUCUCUCUCCUCACCUAACUCUAUCUCUACUUCAAUUUUUCAGAUCUGGUGUGCUCUGGCAUUCGGAUGGCGCGUGCGAGCAGCACCGGAGGCGGCUUUCUCUUCCUCCCUAGCUCGUUUUUUCUUUGGCUUCUUUAUAGCCUCUGUUUCUCUUCACUUUGUUCGAUUUUGUCUCUGAAAGUUUUCACGGCUAGUCCUCUGCUCACGAAGAGGCUCGACACCGGGUUGAACUUUGUACGCUCUGGAGUCGUAGUGCGGAGUCAAAUCAGUUUCUGUCAGAGGGGCUCGGUUUUUAGGGUUCAUGAGGGCUUUUUCAUCUUUUCUCUCUAGCAUUUCAGCGGCGUAUGGAGGAAGUUUCAAGCUUUCAGAAUUAUUGCUCGUGGAUUCCGGAUCUGCUUCCUAGCUUUGCCAAAGCGGUGGCGUUGUCUUGCACAGUGACUCAGCCUUGGUGUCUCGGUGAGUUUUGCCCUGUCUCUUUCGUAACAUGACAGCCUCGGAGGUUCUGUUACUUGAGGGAACAGUUAUAGCCAACAGGUUUGGUGUGUAUGGAUCUUGCGGUGUUCCCGGGUGGAGGUUCUUGGCGUUCGGUUUGUUUGGGUCGCCUAUGACUCCACCAUUGUAUCGCUGGUGGUCUCUCUUUCUUUUGUUUACCUCUUCUAGAUUCUAGUAUCAGGUCAACACUUGAAGCUUGUCGAUAGCUUCCUAGUUGCUUUGUUCGUGUAUAGUUUGGCUAGUUGGCCAUAGUCACUGGUUUUCAACAAUUUGACGGUUAAGGUUACUUCUGCUCGGUUCUCGACAGUGGCGUGUUAUGAGGAGAGUAGGGGUUUGUGUGGUCUAUGAACCUCUGGCUCCUUUCUGUGACUCAAUGCGGAGCUUCGGUAUCCUAGUGCCUUCUGCUGUUAUCAAGCAGUCUUGACAAUGUUGUUUCUAUUACUUUUGCAUGUCGUUGAUUUUUAUCUGGUGCUAGAAUAGUUGCUGUUUUGUGCCCGUCUUCUGCAGGUUUGUUUUAGCAGAGGCAUUUUGGCUAAUCGGUCUUUGCGGCUUGUUUUUUUUUCGGAGCCGGUGAGGAGUCCAUCUUGGGUUCAUUAUCUGCUCCGAUAUUUGGCGUUUGAGAAAAGUGUGUACAGCCGGUCUAAGAUUGCUACUUGCUACUCCGAGGCAACAAGGUGAAUCUCUCCUUCCCGUGGCCAUCGUCAAAGGCAGAGAACAGUAAUUGAUGCAUGAGGAUACUUGAUUCGAUUUACCGGAACGCGCCGGAAUAUAGGUUGAGCAAAGGUAGAUACAAUAUGGUUGAAUUGUGUAAUUUUGUGUGAGUUGUACUUAUUUCUGUUUACGGAUCGAUUAUUAAUAAUAAUAUAUUGUUAAAAAAAUAAUUCGUACAUGAUGUUUUUAUUUGAGGUUAUCAUUUUGAGUUUUAUAAUACUAA